GUGUGUGGCCAGAGCAUGGGUUGCACCCCAGUUCUUCGGGGGAAGAAUGAGAAUGCCCAUUCUGCCUCUUCUGACCUUUUGGGCCAAGAGCCAAGCCUGUCCUGCCCAGAGAAGAAGGAUGAGUAUCCUAAUAAGUUUUUCUCCAUGUGGUUUCAUUGCUGAUGUGGCAUCUCUCUAGUGGUUUGAUUACUCCAUAUUUUUUGGAGAAGGGAAAUUCAGUGUUAGAAUAUCCCCAUAGGGAGGGAUUUUCAAAUGCUCUCAGCACUGGCUCAACUCAGCCCCCACUGAAGUCAUUGGGAGUUUUAUCACUAACUUCACUGGGAUCAAAGUUAGGCUAGUGGUGGGCUCUUUUGAAAAUCCCACCCACGUAAAGGCUGAAUAUUCACAGUCUAAGAGUCCAUAUCAUAUUUAACACGAGUGGAGGCAAAGAAGAAAUAGAAAGGAAGCUGGUGCUAAUGUUGUUCCUCGUGUUAAAAUUCACUGUAUUAUUUUAUAUGCUAAAUAAUAAAUAAUAUAGUCUGCAAUUCAACAAAGGCCAUAAACACAUAAAUAGUCACAUUAAAAUCACUGGGCUAUUCACACACUUAAUGGUAUGGGCUUAAGGACCUUGUUGAAUUGUGGCCAGAAUGAAGAUUCAGCAUAUUGAGCAUAAAAGAGGAGUUCUCUUGUUAAAGGAACACUCCACCCACAGCUUGAGUAAUAUCAGAUGUAUUAAUAAACUGCAAUACAUGCUAUAUUUCUGUCACCCAUUUUCUUCCCUCAUUUCUAGUGUUAUGUUCAGCCCCUGCUGCUAGCCAAGAGGUAGAAGGGUUGGAUGGUAAAAAUAAGGGACUGUAGGUGAAACAAAAUUACUGAUUCAGAAAAUGUUUCAAAAAUUCAUCCCAGUAGAAUAAGGCUCAGAUCUUCAAUAGAUCUAUGCAGAAUUAUACAGACUGAGGAUCUGGCCAUGCAUUCAUUGUAUACCUUUGCAAAACAAUGGAUAACUUUUUUGGCCCCAAUUUCAGCUCAGAGCUAUGCUCUGUUUCUCUGACUGCAACCUCUUAAGGUUAUAUCACAUCAAAUGAUGCAGAACUGUGAGAAGCUCUUCAUGAAAAAAGGAAAUCUCACACGAAUAAUGUUUUGAACAGCUGAUUGACUCUGUGAAAUGGGGUUAAAAAAGAGCUGGGGGAAUAACAGGAAAUGGUUUUUAACAUCAAAAUAUUGAUUUACUUAAAAGGAAAAGCUUAUACAGUUCUCAGACACUUAUGUGGGUGAAGUCAUAGUCUCCACUCUCUAUUAAAUUAAACAACUAUACACAGCACAGCAUUCUCAUUGCUGGUGUUGAGGCAGGAUUUUUUUUAUUUCUACGAACCAAUGUGCAAUUUUGCAGGUCUUUUAUUGAAUUACAAACAUCGCUUCAUGCUGUGCAUUGUGUUCAUGCAGAAGCAAGGAAAUGAAGCUUAACAGGUUACCCAAGCACAGCUGAGGGAACAGAAUGUACUAAAAAUACAUGUAUAUGCUCUGCAUUUACAUAUAUUCUCACAUAAGUAUUAUGAUUUGCAGGACAGAAUAGAAAAAUAACCCAAUGAAUGCACCGAAAGUGAAAUGGCAAUAACAUCAGAUCCUAAAGCAAGUCACCUACCUGAGAUGACUUCAGAAAAAUGUUAAUAAUUUGGAAUCUGUGUUCUAUACUAAAUCCCAGAAAGAAAUAUUGGUUACAUUUGCUUGCAGUGGCAUGACAGCUUCAUUUCUGGGGGCAGUUUCCACUUCAAGCAGGAAAAAGAAUUCCCGCUUUUAAAGCUGCAUUGUGGAUUGCUCAGUUGUGCUUCAUAUAUUGUUGAAUGAUAGAAAACUCUGUAAACAAAAAGAAAUAAAAAUAUAGCCCCAAGAGCUGUAGUCCUCGCUCAGGAAAAUUCCAUUCAAGUCAGUGGGAAUUUUGCCCAAUAUUGCAGGACUAUUCCCAGGCAGCACAGAAGAUGUCUGGAUAGUGGCAAUGAGCAGGUGUUUCAAACUGGUUUUGAAUAUCGUCAUUUACAAACCUGUAGAGCUAAAAUUUGCUCUUCCAUUCUUUGCAUACACAGUCCCAAAUUAUAGACAUGUUCAGCUCACAGUAGAGUCAAUGAGAAUUGUGUCAUUUGAUGAGAGAGCAGAAUUUGGCCCCUAACCUUUUGGACUCAAUAUAUUUGGGAUCACUUUAUUCAAAAGGCAUGUUCCUCUCCCUUUGCCUUUUCUCCUGCUUUCAUCAACACUGACAUUUCCAGUGGGUUUUUUUUAAUUUUGUUACUGCUUUUGCUGCCAGAUAUUUUGCAAGGAGCAGGUGCAGCUUGCCUCCUUACUCCAGCACUGUUCACAUUCUACUUCCCCUUUUAUUUAGACUUAUAGCCCUAGCAGAACUUUUGCCUUAGGCACACCUGCUAGCUCUUCCUCCCCACAGCUGCUGCGUCAGUUAAAUAGCAUAGACUAUGAAUAUGUUCCUCUCCUGCUCCCCCCUCCCACAUGAUCCCAUUCAGUUUGUGCAGGGCACUUUUAUUUUUAGAAUAUUUGCUUCUUUGAAACUCUACUUUCUGUUACUCCCAAAUAGAGCCUGUGAUGCAGAUGCAGAGUCCCAGCCCUGGUCAUGCACCAGCGGGCACCAACCCCAGGCUCCAGCAAGUGCUUUCCCUGGACUCCACCUUCCGCUUCCAGUUGAGCAGCAGCAGGAUCCACUCUGCAGUGCACUGGUGGCCUUGUGAAGACUCCCAAAAUGCUGUACUCUGGGCACUGAAACAGGAACAGUGGGAUAGGUACCCUGAGGGCAUUGCAACUGAAACAGCUUAGGACAAAACACCAGCUCGAUUCUUCACAACCAUGUUCAAACAUGGUAAAGGUCUCUUGGCCUUAGACUACAAGCCCUUUGGGUCAGGGCGGGGAAUUAUCACCUCUCCCUUCUCUUCUUCAUGCAGAGGAGGAAAUUAAGGUAGAAGUUGCCAAUAUUUCAAAGAUGCAUCUCUGGCUCCCAGUCUUAUUGCAACUCAUCCCAGCAGGGGCCAGCUGUGGUUCAGUUUGGGGCGUGGCCUCACCUGCAGCCACUUCCUCAAUUAGCCCAGUCUUGAGAACCGCCGCUCU